rnacentral:rRNA from 1 species
AGAGUUUGAUCCUGGCUCAGGACGAACGCUGGCGGCGUGCCUAAUACAUGCAAGUCGAGCGGAGUUACUGAGGUGCUUGCACCUUAGUAACUCAGCGGCGGACGGGUGAGUAACACGUGGGCAACCUGCCUGCAAGACUGGGAUAACAUUCGGAAACGAAUGCUAAUACCGGAUACGCAAUUGGAUCGCAUGAUUCGAUU